AUGCCUUUCCUUCCGGAGGCGGGGGCGGCGGGGCGCGCCGUGGCCCUGGCCCUGGUGCUGCUGCUCCCCGCAAUGCCCACGGGCGCUGGCGCCCUGCUCCGCCUGCAACCCGGCAUGCCCCACGUGUGUGCGGAGCAGGAACUGACCCUGGUGGGCCGCCGCCAGCCCUGUGUGCGGGCCUUCAGCCGCACAGUGCCCGUGUGGAGGCCGGGUUGUGGGCGGCAGGCCUGGUGUGUCAGCCAUGAGCGCAGAACCAUCUACUACACCGGCUACAGGCAGGUGUACUCCACGGAGGCCCAGACGGUGUUCCGGUGCUGCCCGGGGUGGAGCCAGCAGCCAGGGAGCCAGGGCUGCCUCUCCCCUGUGUGCAGCUCCGGCCUCUGCUUUAACGGCGGCCACUGCGUGUCCGGCUCAGCCCAGCCGUGCCGCUGUCCCCCUGGCUUCCAGGGUCCUCGCUGUCAGCAUGAUGUGAACGAGUGUGCCACUGGCAAUGCAGGCUGUGAGGGUGAGUGUCGCAACACCGUGGGGGGCUUCUACUGCCGCUGCCCGCCCGGCCACCAGCUGCAGGGAGAUGGCAAGACCUGCCGAGACGUGGACGAGUGCCAGGUGCACAAUGGUGGCUGCCAGCACCGGUGUGUGAACACCCCAGGCUCCUACUUCUGCGAGUGCAAGCCCGGCUUCCGUCUCCACGCGGACGGCAGGACCUGCCUGGCCAUCAACUCCUGCACCGUGGGCAACGGUGGCUGCCAGCACAACUGCGUCCAGCUCACAGUGACCCAGCACCGCUGCCAAUGCCGGCCCGAGUUCCAGCUCCAGGAGGAUGGCAGGCGCUGCGUCCGGAGAAACCCGUGCGCGGACAGGAACGGCGGCUGCAUGCACAGGUGCCGGGCGCUCCGGGGCCUUGCCCACUGCGAGUGCCACGCGGGCUACCAGCUGGCAGUGGACCGCAAGGCCUGCGAAGAUGUGGAUGAAUGUGCCACAGGCCUGGCCCAGUGUGCGCAUGGCUGCCUCAACACGCACGGCUCCUUCAAGUGUGUGUGCAAUGCGGGCUACGAGCUGGGUGCUGAUGGCCGGCAGUGCUACCGGAUCGAGAUGGAGAUAGUGAACAGCUGUGAGGCGGACAAUGGCGGCUGCUCCCACGGCUGCAGCCACAGCAGUGCGGGCCCCGUCUGCACCUGCCCCCGUGGCUACGAGCUGGACGAGGACCAGAGGACAUGUAUCGACGUCGACGACUGUGCCGCCUCCCCGUGCUGCCAGCAGGUUUGCACCAAUAGCCCCGGUGGUUACGAGUGCAGCUGCUAUGCCGGCUACCGGCUCAGUGCGGAUGGCUGCGGGUGUGAGGACGUGGACGAGUGCGCCUCCGGCCACAGCGGCUGCGAACACCACUGUGCCAACCUGGCCGGCUCCUUCCAGUGCUCCUGUGAGGCCGGCUACCAGCUGGACGAGGACCGCAGGGGUUGCACCUCCCUGGAGCUGCCCGAGCUGGUCCUGGACGGCCACCUGCCCCUCGGGCGGCCCCCUCUGCACAUUGCGGUGCUCCAGGACCAGCUGCCCCCUCUCUUCCAAGACGACUACGCCGGGGCUGAGGAGGAAGAGGCUGAGGCACGGGGCGAACACACGCUGCAGGAAAAGUAUGUCUGCCUGGACAACACCUUUGGCCCAGACUGCAGCUUGACUUGUGAUGACUGCAGGAAUGGGGGAACCUGCCUCCCCAGCCUGGACAGCUGUGACUGCCCUGAUGGCUGGACCGGGCUCGUCUGCAACGAGACUUGUCCUCUGGACACCUUCGGAAAGAACUGCAGCUUCUCCUGCAGCUGUCAGAACGGCGGGACCUGUGACCCUGUGACGGGGGCCUGCCGCUGCCCCCCAGGGGUCAGUGGAGCCCACUGUGAGGACGGCUGCCCCAAAGGCUUCUAUGGCAAGCACUGCCGUAAGAAGUGCCACUGUGCCAGCCGGGGCCGCUGCCACCGCCUCUACGGGGCCUGCCUCUGUGACCCGGGGCUCUACGGCCGCUUCUGCCACCUGGCCUGCCCGCCGUGGGCCUUUGGGCCAGGCUGCUCAGAGGAGUGCAAGUGUGAGCAGCAGAAUACACGUGCGUGCGAUAAGAGGGAUGGCAGCUGUGCCUGCAAGGCGGGCUUUGGGGGCGAGUGGUGCCAGGACGAGUGCCAGCCAGGGUUCUUUGGGCCAGGGUGCCGGCAGACGUGCACCUGCCCCCUGGGCGUGGCCUGCGACCCUGUCAGCGGCGAGUGUGGGAAGCAGUGUCCCGCUGGCUACCACGGGGAGGACUGCAGCCAAGAGUGCCCGGCGGAGACGUUUGGCCAGAACUGCUCAGGCUCCUGCUCCUGUGGGGGCGCCCCCUGUGACCGGGUCACAGGGCAGUGUCUGUGCCCGCCGGGGAGGACCGGGGAUGACUGUGGGGCAGAUUGUCCCGAGGGCCGCUGGGGGCUUGGCUGCCAGGAGAUCUGCCCGCCAUGUGAGCACGGUGCCGCCUGUGUGCCGGAGACUGGAGCCUGCCUGUGCCGCCCCGGCUUCAUGGGCAGCCGCUGCCAGGAUGCCUGCCCUGCUGGCUGGUUUGGACCUGGUUGCCAGACGCGGUGCUCCUGUGCCAACGAUGGGCUCUGCCACCCAGUGACCGGCCGGUGCAGCUGUGCCCCUGGGUGGACCGGCCUCAGCUGCCAGAGAGCCUGUGACAGCGGCCGCUGGGGACCCGACUGCAGCUACGCCUGCAACUGCAGUGCAGGUCAUGGGGGCUGCGACGCCGUCAGCGGCCUGUGUGUGUGUGAAGCCGGCUAUGUGGGCCCGCGGUGUGAGGAGCGGUGUCCCCAGGGCUACUUCGGGCCGGGCUGUGGGCGGCGAUGCCAGUGUGAGCACGGGGCGGCCUGUGACCACGUCAGCGGGGCCUGCACCUGCCCUGCCGGCUGGAGGGGCACCUUCUGUGAGCGAGCCUGCCCAGCCGGCUUCUUUGGAAUGGACUGUGGCCGUGCCUGUGACUGCAGUGCCGGAGUCCCCUGUGAUCCCGUGAGCGGCUCCUGCCUCUGUCCUGCCGGCCGCCAGGGCCCCCGCUGUGCCCAGACCUGCCCAGCCCACACGUUCGGCCACAACUGCAGCCAGGCCUGCUCCUGCUUUAAUGGGGCCUCCUGUGACCCUGUCCAUGGGCAGUGCCGCUGUGGCCCUGGCUGGACAGGGCCCACCUGCCUGCAGGCCUGCCCAGAGGGCCUCUAUGGUGAGGACUGUCAGCUCUCCUGCCUGUGCCGGAACGGGGGCACCUGUGACCCAGUCUCAGGUCACUGCACCUGCCCAGGGGGCUGGGCCGGCCUGGCCUGUGAGAAGGAGUGCCUCCCCGGGGUCUUUGAAGCUGGCUGCCCGCAGAGCUGCGGGUGCCUGAAUAGCGGCCUCUGUGAUCCGCACACCGGCCACUGCCUCUGCCCAGCCGGCUGGACUGGGGACAAGUGCCAGAGCCCCUGUCCCGAGGGCACCUUUGGGGCCCGCUGUGAGGAGCGCUGCGCUUGCCGGUGGGGGGCCGCCUGCCACACCGUCACCGGGGCCUGCCUCUGCCCCCCGGGGUGGAGGGGCUCGCGGUGUGAGAGCGCCUGCCCACCUGGCUGGUUUGGAGAGGCCUGUGCCCAGCGCUGCCAGUGCCCCCCGGGCGCCGCCUGCCACCACGUCACCGGGGAGUGUCACUGUCCCCCGGGCUUCACGGGGCCCAGCUGUGAGCAAGCCUGCCCACUUGGCACCUUUGGGGAGCGCUGUGGGCAGCAGUGCCACUGCCCCGGCGAGAACCAGGCCUGCCACCCCGCCUCGGGGGCCUGUGCGUGCUCCCCCGGCUACCACGGCGCCGGCUGCCAGCAACGGUGCCCGCCAGGGCGGUUCGGGCCUGGCUGCGAGCUGCUGUGUGGGUGUCUCAACGGGGGCUCCUGUGACGCGGUCACCGGGGCCUGCCGCUGCCCCGCCGGAUUCCUUGGGACUGACUGCGGCCUCGCCUGUCCACACGGCCACUUUGGCCCUGGCUGUGCCCACGUGUGCAGGUGUGGGCGGGGGGCAGCCUGUGACCCCGUGACCGGCAGCUGCUCCUGCCCACCUGGGAGGACCGGCGUCUACUGCGAGCAUGGCUGCCCCCAGAAUCAGUUUGGUGUGAACUGUGAGCAUGCGUGCUCCUGCAGGAAUGGGGGCCUGUGUCAUGCCACCAACGGCAGCUGUUCCUGUGGCCUGGGCUGGACAGGGCCACACUGCGAGCUGGCCUGCCCCGCUGGGCGCUAUGGUGCUGCCUGCAGCCUCGAGUGCUCCUGCCACAACCACGGGACCUGUGAGCCCACGUCGGGGGCCUGUCGCUGCAGCCCCGGCUUCUAUGGCCAAGCCUGCGAGCACCCCUGUCCCCCCGGCUUCCAUGGGGCUGGCUGCCAGCAGACGUGCCAGUGUCAGCAUGGCGCCCCCUGCGACCCCGUCAGCGGCCGGUGCCUCUGCCCUGCUGGCCUCCAUGGCCAGUUCUGCGAGUGGGGGUGUGAGCCGGGCUCGUUCGGAGAGGGCUGCGGCCAGCAAUGUGACUGCGAGCUUGGGGUGCCCUGCAACCCCAUCACCGGCCACUGUCUGUGCCCCCCUGGGCGCACAGGGACCACCUGUGACCUGGGCUGCAGGAGGGGCUUCUUCGGGCCGGGCUGUGCUCUGCACUGCUCCUGCGGGGGUGGAGCCGACUGCGACCCUGUCAGCGGGCAGUGCCUCUGCGUGGACGGCUACACAGGGCCCAUGUGCCGGCAGGGUGGACCCUCCCAGCUCCCGGAGAGCCCAUCUCCAGCCCUGGGCCCAGUGGCCCUACAACCAGCCUCCCACCAGACCUGGGCUCAGCAGCAGCCUAGAGAAGCACUAGCUCAGGGGCAGCCCCCGCUGAGGCUUGGCUCCCAGGGGCCACUGAGGGGACCUGGGGGCUUUGGUGUCCACUGAGGAGGGACGUGCGGGGGCCAGGACUCCGGCCCCACCCUGGUCUCCGAGGCCUGUGGACAGUGGCGCAGCCUUCCACUCUGCAAGGAUCUUCUGACCAGGAGGAUGGAGGCCCUGCCUGGCCCGCCCUGAGGAUCAUAGUGUGGAGGAAGCCGCACCUGCCAUGCCCCCGGGGUGAGACUGCAGGCAGGUGUGGGGGCAGGUGUGGGCCUGGGGCCCUUCCUUGGAGCAAGUUCUUCUGGUGCUAGGCCUGGGACUGCUGCAGUUCAGUCUGUUUACCUGGAAACAGAUGCUGGUGCUAGGCUGGGCCAUAUUUAUGGAAGGUAUUUAUGGGCAGCCAGACCCUGGGCACUGAAGGGCUGCCUGCCUGCUGCUCGACCUGGGAGGCCUUGACUCAGGCCUCUGGGUGGGGCUUCGGUACCCUGUGAAACCCAGUAAGUUA
rnacentral:lncRNA from 1 species